GUGUAGCUCAGUGGUAGAGCACUUGCCAGCAUGUGUGAAGCCCUGGGUUCCAACCCCAGCAC
rnacentral:tRNA from 1 species